AGGUGAGGGCCAUCUGGCUAUGACAUUUGUCACUCCAUUGGGCCCAGGGUUGUUUUGGUUGAUCUGGCUGGCUAGGUGGUGAAACUUCCCCACCUAGAGCUAGCUGUGCCUCUCUCGAGAAGGCUGUGUGCUCAAGUAGAAGAGGGCAGCCUUAUCUGAGCAGGAAGGCUCCAGUUGAGGGUGUGCAGUAGCUGCACUCUCCUGCUAGAACCUCCAAACAAGCUCUCACGAAAGGGAAUGCGUGUAAUGCAAAACCUACUAAAGAGCAGAGACUCCCGGGUUGGAUUUGUACAAUGUACACCACUGCCUCU
ensembl:misc_RNA Gm22202 predicted gene, 22202